rnacentral:rRNA from 1 species
GACGAACGCUGGCGGCGUGCUUAACACAUGCAAGUCGAGCGGUAAGGCCCUUUCGGGGGUACACGAGCGGCGAACGGGUGAGUAACACGUGGGUGACCUGCCCUUAGCUCUGGGAUAAGCCUGGGAAACUGGGUCUAACACCGGAUAUGACUCCAUGACGCAUGUUGUGGGGUGGAAAGCCUUGUGCGGCUAGGGAUGGGCCCGCGGCCUAUCAGCUUGUUGGUGGGGUGAUGGCCUACCAAGGCGACGACGGGUAGCCGGCCUGAGAGGGCGACCGGCCACACUGGGACUGAGACACGGCCCAGACUCCUACGGGAGGCAGCAGUGGGGAAUCUUGCGCAAUGGGCGAAAGCCUGACGCAGCGACGCCGCGUGAGGGAUGACGGCCU